AUGUGUCCCGUUAACUCGCAGAACGAUGAGAAGCUUGCUUACUACGCCUUCUCCCUCGCCAACACGUGCGUGGUGGCUCGCAGCACGAGGAGAAACAUUUGCUUACAAGCGGUGGACGUGCAGCAGUUCAUUUGGUGUCAGAUUGCUAGAAGUACUACUGUAGUACCAUCAUUAUUGUUCGACUUUCGGAAGAGGCGAACAACCAGGUUAGUAGAACCCGACUCAGUAUUCUUAAAAAAAGAGGGGAAGCAGAACCGGGUCAAGAUGAUAUGGUUCACCCCUUCUUCUUGUGCCAAAGAUCUUACCAUUUCUGAAGGAACUGGGGCUACAUUUCUUUUCAAUUUCCAUUCAAGAGUUUCUAUCUAUUUCCACGCCCUUUUCUUGAGACCUCGAAACAUGAGGACAAAUUACUUCUCUUAG
rnacentral:rRNA from 1 species